CAAUAGCGUAUAUUAAAGUUGUUGCAGUUAAAAAGCUCGUAGUUGGAUUUGUGGUGUACUUCGGCGGCCCGUCACUAUGUGAUGGAGCUUGCUGAAGUCGCCAUCCUUGGGUGGAUCCUGUGUGGCAUUAAGUUGUCGUGCAGGGGAUGCCCAUCGUUUACUGUGAAAAAAUUAGAGUGUUCAAAGCAGGCUUAUGCCGUUGAAUAUAUUAGCAUGGAAUAAUAAGAUAGGACCUUGGUACUAUUUUGUUGGUUUGCGCACCAAGGUAAUGAUUAAUAGGGACAGUUGGGGGUAUUCGUAUUUCAUUGCCAGAGGUGAAAUUCUUGGAUUUUUGAAAGACGAACUACUGCGAAAGCAUUUACCAAGGAUGUUUUCAUUAA
rnacentral:rRNA from 1 species